rnacentral:tRNA from 1 species
GGAGAGAUGCCGGAGUGGUCGAACGGGGCGGUCUCGAAAACCGCUGUGGGGCUUAGUCCUCACCGUGAGUUCGAAUCUCACUCUCUCCGCCU